rnacentral:rRNA from 1 species
GACGAACGCUGGCGGCGUGCUUAAUACAUGCAAGUCAACUGAACUUAGGGUAGUAAUACUCUAAGAGAGGUGGCGCACGGGUGAGUAACACGUAGGUAAUCUGCCUUUAGGUCUGACAUAACCUACCGAAAGGUAGGCUAACUUCAGAUGAUGCAGCGGCUCGACAUCGAGACAGUUGUUAAAUCUUCGGAGCCUAAAGAUGAGCCUGCGUCUGAUUAGGAGUUGGCGGAGUAAAAGCCCACCAAGCCUGCGAUCAGUAGCUGGUCUGAGAGGAUGAUCAGCCACACUGGAACUGAGACACGGUCCAGACUCCUACGGGAGGCAGCAGUAAGGAAUAUUGCUCAAUGGCCGAAAGGCUGAAGCAGCAACG